CUGAAAAACAUUCCUAUAAUUCUUAAUAACAAAAUAUUACCAGUUUGGAAAGGUUUUACAAAACAUUAUGGACUUUAAAAAUAUUAUCUUUGAAGACAAAAUUUAUAUUUAAUUUAUUUGGACAUACUGAAUUCAGUAUGUGAACAAUUUAGAAUUAUUAAAGUUUGGAUUUAAAUUUGACUCAGUGCUGGGACUAUUCUUGCUUAUAAGGGCAAGCCCAUCAUUUUGACUGGAGACUGCACGCUGCUUUUCAAGACUUGCACUCUGUGUCAAUCAAACCGCGCCUGCAACUUUUCAUUCAUGUCGUGUUAGGCAACCUGUGAUUUUCCACUUUUUCAAUUUAGUUGUAAUACGUGUUGCAGAAUAUCCUAGCGGCAACAAAAAUGAACUUAUAUAGUGAAUUGUUGAUUGAAAAUAUCUAAUUUCGACUUGAAAUCUCUUAGAUACAGGUUUAAAUUUGAUAAUUAGAAGUUCAAGUGAAUGCUUAACCUUUACCCAGCCGCCCUUAUAUUCUAAGCACACUAAUUUGAUAAUACGCUUAUUAUACUCUACAUAAUUUGUGUGUAUUUUGAAAAUGCAAAUUAAAACAAUGCAAUUUUCAAAGCUGCACACUAAUUUCAAGAAAAGACAAUACCGUUGUAAUCAAACUAGAUUCAACGAAAUAUUUUAGUAUCACAGUCAUGGUAUGCAGUAGUUAUCCUGUUGGAUUUAUUAUUCCUACUGUUAAUUCAGAAAUGUUAUUUAAACUACAUUGGUUUUUAAUUUUUUUUUUUUUUUGAAAAUAGUGAUAGAAAAAUGAAAUAAAUGUGUAAUCUGUAAAACCUUGCUCAUUUGUUACAUAUUUUCCCUGUUACCCAAAACACUCUUUUCCUUACACAGUCCUUCCGCCAUAAUAUGGUUUACAUAUACCUGGUCCAUUCCUCGUGUAUUGAACAAACGACAACUGGAAAUAUUUAGAUAACUAUUUCAUACAAGUUUCGUUUUAUUUUAUCAGGCUCAACAAAAGUAGGUAGACAAAUAAAGAAAGUAUUCAAUUAAUAUGGCAUUCUAUCAUAACACUUAAAGGGAGCUUACAAGUGAAGUAAUGUAUAUACAAUACAUAACAAAUAAGUAAAGAGUGGUUACAACUGCAUUCUAACGAAACAAAAAUAGCCGAGUCCAAUCGUUACUUGGAAAAACCGGAUCAGUAACGCAUGAUCUCGGAUCAAAUGAUAAGAAAAUUGUCUUUUCCAGUUAUUUAGAAAUUAUUUUCAGAGACGGCAUCUAGCGCAAGGAGUGCUCUAAACAUUUUGGAAUACUCUUUGCUAUUUGUUUUCUAGCAAAUCUAAGCACUUUUAUCAAAUACUUCGGAAAACCAUGCUAAAAUAGCAGAUAAAUAAUGCCAUGA
rnacentral:lncRNA from 1 species